CAGGUACAGAGGGAUGCUACCGGGCGACCGGAUGCGGAUCUCGAAAGCCUGUCCCAGUUCGGGCUGGAGUCUGCAACCCGACUCCACGAAGUUGGAUUCGCUAGUAAUCGCGCAUCAGCCAUGGCGCGGUGAAUACGUUCCCGGGCCUUGUACACACCGCCCGUCAAGCCAUGGGAGCCGGGGGCGCCUGAAGUCCGGGACCGCGAGGACCGGCCUAGGGCGAAACUGGUAACUGGGGCUAAGUCGUAACAAGGUAAC
rnacentral:rRNA from 1 species